AUACCCAAUCCCGCAAUCAGUCUUCCUUCUCCUUCUCAUUCUCGUUGGGGCCUUCAAAAAGCUUAACAGCCCACCCCACCGCCAUCACCAUGAGGGCCAAGUGGAAGAAGAAGCGUAUGAGGAGAUUGAAGAGGAAGCGUAGAAAGAUGAGGCAGAGAUCUAAGUAGAUUUUCUCAUUUCCGAUUACUUUCUUCUUCUUUUCUUUUAGUGUGUUUUAAAUCAAAAGGUGGAUUAUGUAGUUUCCCCCUGUGUUUUGAUUAAUCAGAUGAUGGGUUUAUCUAUGGAUAUAUUUAUUUGUUUUCUUUGAAUGUUGAUGAGUUUGGCUUCUUUCCUUGAUAAUUUCCUUUGGGAUUUUAUCUGUUUAAAUGGAAUUGGAGUUAGAUUGAUAAGAUUA